CAUGAGAUCAUGACCUGAGCUGAGAUCAAGAGCGGGACACAACCAACUGAGCCAUUCAAGUGCCCCUACAAAUGCUAAUUUUUAUAAUUAUCAUUACUGAAUUUAUGCUGAAAAAUAUCCAGGUUGGAAAUGUUUGAGAGCUGACGGAAACCUGUAGCUCUGAUUAGAAUGAACUUAGAUUAUGCAGAAGGCCUGCCCUACAAUUAUACAUGUGCCGACAUUAAAACUCAGAGAAGCAGCAGCCCAUGGUACAAGGACUAAGUGGUAGCUUAAUAUAAUAUAAUAUAAUGGAAACCAUAUGGUGCAUGGGCAGGCAGCCCCUUGCCGUGGAUACUACGUUGUUCUCACCACAUUAAUGUACACACUGAAGACCAACCAAGGGAGAUGACGACACCAAGAAUCAGAGCAGUGAUGUGACCUUCCAAGUUAACAACAGAGAGAAGUGAUAGAAAGGCAAUGAGAAUUCAAAUUAAAACUACCAAGGUAGUAUUUUUUUUCUCUACCAGAUGAGACCACAUUUUCUCCAAUUCCAUAAACCUACCUCAUUCAAGAAGGGCAGACAAUGGGCUCAUAAAGUCAAUAAACUACAGGGGCGCCUGGGUGGCGCAGUUGGUUAAGCGUCCGACUUCAGCCAGGUCACGAUCUCGCGGUCCGUGAGUUUGAGCCCCGCGUCGGGCUCUGGGCUGAUGGCUCAGAGCCUGGAGCCUGUUUCCGAUUCUGUGUCUCCCUCUCUCUCUGCCCCUCCCCCGUUCAUGCUCUGUCUCUCUCUGUCCCAAAAAUAAA